rnacentral:misc_RNA from 1 species
AGAGUUUGUAACACCCAAAGCCGGUGGGGUACCUUUUAGGAGCUAGCCGUCUAAGGUGGGACAGAUGAUUAGGGUGAAGUCGUAACAAGGUAGCCGUAGGAGAACCUGCGGCUGGAUCACCUCCUUUCUAAGGAAUAAACGGAAACCCACACUAUGUCAAAGUUUUGUUUAGUUUUGAGAGGUUUACUCUCAAUUUUGUUCUUUGAAACCUGAUUAAUAUCUAUAAUUCUCUAAUUCUAAUUGGUUAAUCAUUAUUAACCCGAGAGAAACCGCGUAAUUUAAAGAGUUUUAAACCAGAUUAGUUCAAAAGAUUAUCGCUAACUCAAUUAAUCCACUUUACCGUAGGUUGAAGAUUAGGUUAAGUUAGGAAGGGCGCAUGGUGAAUGCCUUGGUACUAGGAGCCGAUGAAGGACGGGACUAACACCGAUAUGCCUCGGGGAGCUGUAAGUAAGCUUUGAUCCGGGGAUUUCCGAAUGGGGCAACCCAAUAGUUUUAACGACUAUUAUCCGCAUCUGAAUACAUAGGAUGUGUGAAGGUAA